GAGAUUAUUGGGCCUAAGCAUCCGUAGCUCGUUCUGUAAGUUUUCGGUUAAAUCCAUGCGCUUAACKUAUGGGCUGCCGGGAAUACUGCAUAACUAGGAAGUGGGAGAGGUAGACGGUACUCGGUAGGAAGGGGUAAAAUCCUUUGAUCUAUUGAUGACCACCUGUGGCGAAGGCGGUCUACCAGAACACGUUCGACGGUGAGGGAUGAAAGCUGGGGGAGCAAACCGGAUUAGAUACCCGGGUAGUCCCAGCUGUAAACUAUGCAAACUCAGUGAUGCAUUGGCUUGUGGCCAAUGCAGUGCUGCAGGGAAGCCGUUAAGUUUGCCGCCUGGGAAGUACGUACGCAAGUAUGAAACUUAAAGGAAUUGGCGGGGGAGCACAA
rnacentral:rRNA from 1 species